rnacentral:tRNA from 1 species
GGCAAGGUGGCCGAGUGGUUAAGGCGCUAGUUUUAGGCACUAGUGGGAAACCUCGCGGUAAGCUCCAAGUUUCAACAUUAUUCUUGGAAUAGUCUUCUAAUUAUCAUCUAGAGUUCGAAUCUCGUCCUUGUCA